UACAGAGGUCUCAAGCGUUUGUUCGGAUUCAUUGGGCGUAAAGGGUGCGUAGGUGGCGAGGCAAGUCUGGUGUGAAAUCCCGGGGCUCAACCCCGGAACUGCACUGGAUACUGCCUGGCUAGAGUACUGGAGAGGAGAUUGGAAUUUACGGUGUAGCAGUGAAAUGCGUAGAUAUCGUAAGGAAGACCAGUGGCGAAGGCGGAUCUCUGGGCCUUACCCUGACGCUGAGACGCGAAAGCGUGGGGAGCAAACAGG
rnacentral:rRNA from 1 species